rnacentral:rRNA from 1 species
CCCUUAGAUGUUCUGGGCUGCACGCGCGCUACACUGAUGCGCUCAACGAGUUUUAACCUUGCCUGGAAAGGUUGGGUAAUCUUUUUAAAACGCAUCGUGAUGGGGAUAGAUUAUUGCAAUUAUUAAUCUUCAACGAGGAAUUCCUAGUAAGCGCGAGUCAUCAGCUCGUGCUGAUUACGUCCCUGCCCUUUGUACACACCGCCCGUCGCACCUACCGAUUGAAUGGUCCGGUGAAGUCUUCGGACUGGCAGCAUGUAUGUGCUUGCCGGGAAGUUGAGUAAACCUUACCAUUUAGAGGAAGGUGAAGUCGUAACA